UUCCAUAUAGCUCAAUCAGUAAAGCAUCUGCCUGCAAUUCAGGAGACCUGGGUUUAAUUCCUGGGUUGGGAG
rnacentral:tRNA from 1 species